rnacentral:rRNA from 1 species
CCUACGGAGGCAGCAGUGGGGAAUUUUGGGCAAUGGCCGAAAGGCUGACCCAGCAACGCCGCGUGAGGGAUGAAAUCCUUCGGGAUGUAAACCUCGUAAGUCAGGGAAGAAUAAACGUGCUUUAAUACAGUACGAUAUGACGGUACCUGACGUAAGCCCCGGCUAACUCCGUGCCAGCAGCCGCGGUAAU